rnacentral:rRNA from 1 species
UACAGAGGUCUCAAGCGUUGUUCGGAUUCAUUGGGCGUAAAGGGUGUGUAGGUGGCGCGCUAAGUCGGGUGUGAAAUUUUGGAGCUUAACUCCGAAACUGCAUUCGAUACUGGCGUGCUUGAGGACUGGAGAGGAGACUGGAAUUCAUGGUGUAGCAGUGAAAUGCGUAGAGAUCAUGAGGAAGACCAGUGGCGAAGGCGGGUCUCUGGACAGUUCCUGACACUGAGACACGAAGGCCAGGGGAGCAAACGGG